rnacentral:rRNA from 1 species
UACGAAGGGGGCUAGCGUUGUUCGGAAUUACUGGGCGUAAAGCGCGCGUAGGCGGCGACCUUUGUUAGAGGUGAAAUCCCGAGGCUCAACUUCGGAAUUGCCUUUGAAACGGGGUUGCUAGAGUCCGAGAGAGGAUGGCGGAAUUCCUAGUGUAGAGGUGAAAUUCGUAGAUAUUAGGAAGAACACCGGUGGCGAAGGCGGCCAUCUGGCUCGGUACUGACGCCCAGGCGCGAAAGCGUGGGGAGCAAACAGG